AGUUUUGCACAGUGGCAGUAUUGUAGCCAAUGAGGUUUACCUGAAGCGCGAUUAUUGCCAGUUAAAUAUAUGUAAAAACCUUUUGAGCGGCGCCUGAACAAGAAUAGGUUCCGAGGAGU
rnacentral:snRNA from 1 species